rnacentral:rRNA from 1 species
UACAGAGGUCCCAAGCGUUGUUCGGAUUUACUGGGCGUAAAGGGUGCGUAGGUGGCGAGGUAAGUUCGAUGUGAAAUCUCCGAGCUCAACUCGGAAAUGGCAUUGAAUACUAUCCCGCUUGAGGGUCGGAGGGGAGACUGGAAUUCUCGGUGUAGCGGUGAAAUGCGUAGAUAUCGGAAGGAACAUCAGUGGCGAAAGCGGCUUCCUGGACCAGCACCGACGUUCAGGCACGAAAGCGUGGGGAGCAAACAGG